AAGUUUUCAUUCUCUUCUCCCUCCACUCUCUAGCAGCCUUCCCCUCUCUUCUCUCCCUUCAUUCCAGCCGCCUCCACUUUCUCCCCCUCUCUUCUUCUUCCCUCUCCCGUCGUUCCUCCUCUCUCUCCCCCUUUUUCCGACCACCAAGCUGCCUUCCCUCUCUCCACCACCAUCCUCCCUCUUCUCCUGUCCCUUUCGUAUCACUUUUUCUUCCCCCCUCUUCCCUUCUCCCUCUCGUCUUCCUCCCCUUCUCCGUCUCCAUUCUCUUCCUCUCAUCUCUAAAAUCAGCAACAGCCGCAACUUCGGCAGAGUUCCAUGGCCACCAACAGCUCCGGCGAAGGGGACAACAAUAACUCCAACAAGUUUUGAACUUAAAGUUUAAGAUGAUGAAGAGUGGCCUAGAAGAAAUUUCAGACGAAGCUUCAUUUAUUUUAAUGUUUUGUAUAUUUUCAUUCGUUAUUUCUGUUACAAUGAGUAUAAUUCUCUAACCCUACCUAUAUAUAUAAAAUAAAUUUGGGGUGGAUCGCCUAAGGGGAGGGGAAUUAUGCAGUAAUCGCCUCUUAUUUGAAAA